AUCCAGCUGACGAGCCCAAAAUAGGACGAAACACGCGUCAAACUGGAU
rnacentral:hammerhead_ribozyme from 1 species